GGGCCGGUGGCAGAGCCGGGCUAUUGCAGCGUCGAUGAGUUGACAGCCGGUACGCACGGCGGUUCAGCGACGCGUGGGGCCACUGGCGUGCCAUGCCCCACCAGGGGUUCGAAUCCCCUCCGGCCCG
rnacentral:tRNA from 1 species